rnacentral:rRNA from 1 species
CCUACGGGAGGCAGCAGUGGGGGAUAUUGGACAAUGGGGGAAACCCUGAUCCAGCGACGCCGCGUGAGUGAAGAAGUAUUUCGGUAUGUAAAGCUCUGUCAGCAGGGAAGAAAGAAAUGACGGUACCUGACCAAGAAGCCCCGGCUAACUACGUGCCAGCAGCCGCGGUAAUACGUAGGGGGCAAGCGUUAUCCGGAAUUACGGGGGGUAAAGGGAGCGUAGACGGUGAUGCAAGCCUGGAGUGAAAGGCGGGGGACCAACCCCCGGACUGCUCUGGAAACUGUGUAACGUGAGUGCUGGAGAGGUAAGCGGAAUUCCUAGUGGAGCGGUGAAAUGCGUAGAUAUUAGGAGGAACACCAGUGGCGAAGGCGGCUUACUGGACUGUAACUGACGUUGAGGCUCGAAAGCGUGGGGAGCAAACAGGAUUAGAUACCCUUGUAGUC